rnacentral:rRNA from 1 species
ACCGUACUCCUACGGGAGGCAGCAGUGGGGAAUUUUGGACAAUGGGGGCAACCCUGAUCCAGCAAUGCCGCGUGAGUGAAGAAGGCCUUCGGGUUGUAAAGCUCUUUUGUCAGGGAAGAAACGGUAGUAGCUAAUAUCUAUUACUAAUGACGGUACCUGAAGAAUAAGCACCGGCUAACUACGUGCCAGCAGCCGCGGUAAUACGUAGGGUGCAAGCGUUAAUCGGAAUUACUGGGCGUAAAGCGUGCGCAGGCGGUUGUGUAAGUCAGAGGUGAAAUCCCCGGGCUCAACCUGGGAAUUGCAUUUGUGACUGCACGGCUAGAGUGUGUCAGAGGGGGGUAGAAUUCCACGUGUAGCAGUGGAAUGCGUAGAUAUGUGGAGGAAUACCGAUGGCGAAGGCAGCCCCCUGGGAUAACACUGACGCUCAUGCACGAAAGCGUGGGGAGCAAACAGGAUUAGAAACCCGGGUAGUCCUUGAC